rnacentral:rRNA from 1 species
GUAGGUGGCAAGCGUUGUCCGGGAAUUAUUGGGGCGUAAAGCGCGCGCAGGCGGUUCUUUAAGUCUGAUGUGAAAGCCCACGGGCUCAACCGUGGAGGGUCAUUGGAAACUGGAGAACUUGAGUACAGAAGAGGAAAGCGGAAUUCCACGUGUAGCGGUGAAAUGCGUAGAGAUGUGGAGGAACACCAGUGGCGAAGGCGGCUUUCUGGUCUGUAACUGACGCUGAGGCGCGGAAGCGUGGGGAGCAAACAGGAUUAGAUACCCUGGUAGUCCACGCCGUAAACGAUGAGUGCUAAGUGUUAGGGGGUUUCCGCCCCUUAGUGCUGCAGCUAACGCAUUAAGCACUCCGCCUGGGGAGUACGGCCGCAAAGGCUG